ACAACCCCCGGAGCACCCGCGGGCUCUCCGGUGUUGCCCCCUCGGGGUGGCCGCGGCGGUGCAAGGCAGGCCGGAGGGAUGCGUGCGGAGCGAGAUGCGAGUCUCGACUAUGCCGUGGGGGGCCCGGAUCCGACCGCUCUCGGCGGCGAGUGCACCGACGCCCGGGCUCGCCCGUAAUGAGGCCGGCGGGCGGCCGGACGCAGACUGAACCAAAGACGGGGCCCCCAAAGAUAAAACAGCCCUGAAACCCACUAAAAUGAAGGAUUUUGGGCCCCAGAAAUGGAGUGAACGGGUAAACCCGGUUCACGGUCGUAGGGCUCGAAAUGAGCUUUCCGUUGAUAUAUUAUCGCCCCCGUAACUCUUCCCGGAUCAAAAGUUACGGCCGUUCGAAGCUUGUGCCACCAUUUUGAUGCUCCAACCGAUUCAUCU
rnacentral:lncRNA from 1 species